GUGCCAGCAGCCGCGGUAAAACGUAGGAGACAAACGUUAUCCGGAGUUACUGGGCGUAAAGGGCGUGCAGGUGGCUUGAUAAGUUCGGCGUGAAAUUUCCCGGCUUAACCGGGGGAUGUCGUCGGAGACUGUCGAGCUAGAGGGUGAUAGAGGCGUGUGGAAUUCCGGGUGUAGUGGUGAAAUGCGUAGAGAUCCGGAGGAACACCAGUGGCGAAGGCGACACGCUGGGUCAUACCUGACACUAAAACGCGACAGCAUGGGGAGCGAACGGGAUUAGAAACCCCAGUAGUCC
rnacentral:rRNA from 1 species